UACGUAGGGAGCGAGCGUUGUCCGGAUUCAUUGGGCGUAAAGAGCUCGUAGGCGGCUUGGUAAGUCGGAUGUGAAACCUCCAGGCUCAACCUGGAGUCGCCAUCCGAUACUGCCAUGGCUAGAGUCCGGUAGGGGCCCACGGAAUUCCUGGUGUAGCGGUGAAAUGCAUUGAGAUCGGAAAGAACACCAACGGCGAAAGCACUCUGCUGGGCCGACACUGACACUGAGAGACGAAAGCUAGGGGAGCAAACAGG
rnacentral:rRNA from 1 species